UCUUGCCGUAGAGGUGCAAUUACAAUCAGUAUCUGUUAUUGGGGUGAUGCCAAUGAAUAACAGUGAAAGGUGUAGUUGCCGAAGUAAGUCUGUAAAUUAAAACGGCUUGCUGGGGUUGUCAUCAAAUAGGGACAACACUGCCAUAGUCUUAUUUUUUAAACUAUGGAGCGCUACUGUAGGG
rnacentral:ncRNA from 2 species